CCUACGGGUGGCUGCAGUCGAGAAUCAUUCACAAUGGGGGAAACCCUGAUGGUGCGACGCCGCGUGGGGGAAUGAAGGUCUUCGGAUUGUAAACCCCUGUCAUGUGGGAGCAAAUUAAAAAGAUAGUACCACAAGAGGAAGAGACGGCUAACUAUGUGCCAGCAGCCGCGGUAAUACAGAGGUCUCAAGCGUUGUUCGUAAUCCCUGGGCGUAAAGCGUGCGUAGGCUGUUUCGUAAGUCGUGUGUGAAAGGCGCGGGCUCAACCCACGGACGGAACAUGAUACUGCGGGACUAGGGUAAGUGAGGGGGAACCGAAAUGCUCGGUGUAGCAGUGAAA
rnacentral:rRNA from 1 species